rnacentral:rRNA from 1 species
GUCGUCAGCUCGUGCCGUGAGGUGUUGGGUUAAGUCCCGCAACGAGCGCAACCCCUAUCGCUAGUUAAUUUCUCUAGUGAGACUGCCCCUAAAAGGGAGGAAGGUGGGGAUGACGUCAAGUCAUCAUGACUCUUACGUCUAGGGCUACACACACGCUACAAUGGCCAGUACAGACGGUCGCUAAGCCGCAAGGUGGAGCCAAUCCGAUAAAGCUGGUCUCAGUUGGGAUUGCAGGCUGCAACUCGCCUGCAUGAACGCGGAGUUGCUAGUAAACGCAGGUCAGCACACUGCGUUGAAUACGUUCCCGGGCCUUGUACACACCGCCCGUCACGUCAUGGAAGUUGGUAACACUUGAAGUCGUUGCGCUAACCCUUUGGGAGGCAGACGCCGAGAGUGGGACUGAUGACUGGGACGAAGUCGUAACAAGGUAGCUGUACCGGAAGGUGCGGCUGGAUCACCUCCUUUCUAAGGAG